CCUGCACCGGUGGGGUCCCUCGGCCUGGCCUGUGCCCUCUGGCAAUCCGGGACCCCUCAGGGGAUGUUGGAGGCCCAGUGCACGGAUUCAGCCCAAUCCCCGCAGGCCAGGCCGAGGGACCCCACUGGUGCACA
rnacentral:pre_miRNA from 1 species